CCAUUUUGCUAACUUACAAGGUUGAUAUUACGGUCAUGAUCUUUCAAACCUCUAUCCGUCUACGAUGAUAUCCUUCUAACUACAUACUUUGAAUGGGGAUAGUUGAAAUAAUUCAAAUACAUUUAUGUAUCUUUUUAUAUUUGAGCCAAGAAGGAUUAUCUAGGAAUGUUUCCAUUCUAAUGUCUAAUCUGUCCAUAAGCGGAUUCUUCUUCCUUAGCGCACAUUCUUGUCAUGAUCCGAGACUACCCCGCGGUGCCU
rnacentral:lncRNA from 1 species